rnacentral:rRNA from 1 species
CCGCGAAAGGCUCAUUACAUCAGUUGUGGUUCCUUGGACUGUACCCAGUUACUUGGAUAACUGCGGAAAAUCUGGAGCUAAUACAUGCCGACAGAGUCCCGACCGGAGACGGGAGGGACGCUUUUAUUAGAUCAAAACCAAAUAUCCCCCCUCGCGGGGGAAACGGUUUAAGGUGACUCUGAAUAACUUUGUGCUGAUCGCACGGCCCCCGCGCCGGCGACGCGUCUUUCAAAUGUCUGCCUUAUCAACUUUCGAUGGUAGGCUCUGCGCCUACCAUGGUUGUAACGGGUGACGGGGAAUCAGGGUUCGAUUCCGGAGAGGGAGCCUGAGAAACGGCUACCACAUCCAAGGAAGGCAGCAGGCGCGCAAAUUACCCACUCCCGGCUCGGGGAGGUAGUGACGAAAGAUAACGAUGCAGGACUCUUAUGAGGCCCUGUAAUCGGAAUGACUACAUUUUAAAUCUCUUAAGGAGUAUCAAUUGGAGGGCAAGUCUGGUGCCAGCAGCCGCGGUAAUUCCAGCUCCAAUAGCGUAUAUUAAAGCUGUUGCGGUUAAAAAGCUCGUAGUUGGAUCUGUGCCCUGCACCGCCGGUCCCCGCUCUGCGGUGCGACUGGCAGGUCUGUGGGGCGUCCUGCCGGUGGGAGGUCUUGCCGGCGGCGGUCCUCCGUCCCCGUCUCGCGGGUUGGGCAGACCGUCACCGCGCGUUCAGUCGGCAGGUCGGGCGGCUUCGGCCGUCCUUCAGGUACGGCGGCGCGGGGCACUCCCCUCGCAGCGGGGCGAGCCGCCGAUGCGUGCGCUCCCGGUUAUCCGAUCCUGCCGAAGGUGCUCUUUACCGAGUGUCGAGGCGGGCCGGCAUUUUUACUUUGAACAAAUUAGAGUGCUUAAAGCAGGCUGGUGACGCCUGAAUGCUGUGUGCAUGGAAUAAUGGAAUAGGACCUCGGUUCUAUUUUCUUUUGGUUUUCUGAACCAGAGGUAAUGAUAAACGGAGACAGGCGGGGGCAUUCGUAUUGCGACGUUAGAGGUGAAAUUCUUGGAUCGUCGCAAGACGAACAGAAGCGAAAGCAUUUGCCAAGGAUGUUCUCGUUGAUCAAGAACGAAAGUCAGAGGUUCGAAGGCGAUCAGAUACCGCCCUAAUUCUGACCGUAAACGCUGCCAUCUGGUUAUUCGCCCACGUUAAAACCUAUAUGACUGGGCGAGCAACCCUCGGGAAACCAAAGAUUUUGGGUUCCGGGGGAAGUAUGGUUGCAAAGCUGAAACUUAAAGGAAUUGACGGAAGGGCACCACCAGGAGUGGAGCCUGCGGCUUAAUUUGACUCAACACGGGAAACCUCACCAGGCCCGGACACUGGAAGGAUUGACAGAUUGAUAGCUCUUUCUUGAUUCAGUGGGUGGUGGUGCAUGGCCGUUCUUAGUUGGUGGAGCGAUUUGUCUGGUUAAUUCCGAUAACGAACGAGACUCUAGCCUGCUAACUAGUCGAUGAUUUCAAUCCGGCAUCCUCUGACGGCUGCCGGCGAAAACAACUCUUCUUAGAGGGACAGGCGGCUCCUAGCCGCACGAGAUUGAGCAAUAACAGGUCUGUGAUGCCCUUAGAUGUUCUGGGCCGCACGCGCGCUACAAUGAAGGUAUCAACGUGUGUCCCUUGGCCGAGAGGCCCGGGUAACCCGCUGAACCACCUUCGUGCUUGGGACUGGGGCUUGAAAUUGUUCCCCAUGAACGAGGAAUUCCCAGUAAAGGCGUGUCACUAGCACGCCUUGAUUACGUCCCUGCCCUUUGUACACACCGCCCGUCGCUACUACCGAUUGAAUGAAUUAGUGAGGUCUUCGGACCAGCGCGCGGUUCUCGUCCCUCGGGACCCCCGUCGCUGCAGGGAAGAUGAUCGAACUUGUUCAUUUAGAGGAAGUAAAAGUCGUAACAAGGUUUCCGUAGGUGAACCU